UUUUUUUUAACGCUUCAAUUCUGACAGACAUUUGAAUAUAGAGGAGAAGCGGAGCUUACCUAAUGAGCUCCCUCUGUAAAGCACCACCUUGCUUGGUUCUUCUAUGGGAAGUAGCCCCAAAUCCAGUGGUGACACCAUAGCUAUCAGUUCCCUCGUUCAUACUAUCCAUGACCCAGUCACUGCUUGCCUUAACACCAGCUCUAGCAGAUUCUGCAAGCUCCACCUUCACAUCAGAUUCACGACUGCUGGCAAUAGCUGCCACCUGAGCUACGGUCAAGGUUUCGCCGCCUAACUUGACCAAAGGCUUCCUAAACUCAGCCACCAUUCUUUUAACUUCAUCUAAAUGGCUGCCAUUCAUUGACUCAGCAGCCAGACCCCA
rnacentral:misc_RNA from 1 species